AGCAUAUCAAUAAGCGGAGGAAAAGAAACCAACAGGGAUUGCCCCAGUAACGGCGAGUGAAGCGGCAACAGCUCAAAUUUGAAAUCUGGCCCCUCGGGGUCCGAGUUGUAAUUUGUAGAGGAUGCUUUUGGUGAGGUGCCGCCCGAGUUCCCUGGAACGGGACGCCACAGAGGGUGAGAGCCCCGUCUGGCUGGCCGCCGAGCCUCUGUAAAGCUCCUUCGACGAGUCGAGUAGUUUGGGAAUGCUGCUCAAAAUGGGAGGUAUAUGUCUUCUAAAGCUAAAUAUUGGCCAGAGACCGAUAGCGCACAAGUAGAGUGAUCGAAAGAUGAAAAGCACCUUGAAAAGAGGGUUAAAUAGUACGUGAAAUUGUUGAAAGGGAAGCGCUUGUGACCAGACUUGGGCGCGGCGGAUCAUCCGGGGUUCUCUCCGGUGCACUUCGCCGCGUCUGGGCCAGCAUCAGUUCGUCGCGGGGGAAAAAGGCUUCGGGAACGUGGCUCCUCCGGGAGUGUUAUAGCCCGUUGCAUAAUACCCUGCGGUGGACUGAGGACCGCGCAUCUGCAAGGAUGCUGGCGUAAUGGUCACCAGCGACCCGUCUUGAAACACGGACCAAGGAGUCGUCUUCGUAUGCGAGUGUUCGGGUGUCAAACCCCUACGCGUAAUGAAAGUGAACGCAGGUGAGAGCUUCGGCGCAUCAUCGACCGAUCCUGAUGUUCUCGGAUGGAUUUGAGUAAGAGCAUACGGGGCCGGACCCGAAAGAAGGUGAACUAUGCCUGUAUAGGGUGAAGCCAGAGGAAACUCUGGUGGAGGCUCGCAGCGGUUCUGACGUGCAAAUCGAUCGUCAAAUAUGGGCACGGGGGCGAAAGACUAAUCGAACCUUCUAGUAGCUGGUUUCCGCCGAA
rnacentral:rRNA from 1 species